AAUGAACGUUGGCGGCGUGGAUUAGGCAUGCAAGUCGAACGAAUCCCACCUGGGUAACUGGGUGGGGGAAGUGGCGAAAGGGGCAGUAAGGCAUGGGUAACUUGCCCCGGAGUUCGGGAUAGCCUUCCUAACGGAUGGGUAAUACCGAAUGCCGUACUGAGGGGGCAUCCUCUUGGUACGAAAGUUCCGACGCUCCGGGAGAGGUCCAUGUGGUAUUAGCUAGUUGGUGGGGUAACGGCCCACCAAGGCCAAGAUGCCAGCAGGUGUGAGAGCACGACCUGCGUCACUGGCACUGGGACACUGGCCAGACUCCUACGGGAGGCUGCAGUCGAGGAUCUUCGGCAAUGGGCGAAAGCCUGACCGAGCGACGCCGCGUGUGCGAUGAAGGCC
rnacentral:rRNA from 1 species